AUGGCGACUUCAGAGGCCAGCGGCAGCGGCGGGAAUGGCGAGGGCUGCAACCCCUCCAUCAAGUACUACCGGCUGGAGGAGGUGGGGAAGUGAAACUCUGCGGAGGCGGAGACGUGGAUGGUGAUCCACGGGCGAGUCUACAAUAUUACCCGCUUCCUCAGCGAGCAUCCUGGUGGGGAAGAGGUUCUGCUGGAACAAGCUGGUGCUGAUGCAACUGAAAGCUUUGAAGAUGUUGGCCACUCCCCUGAUGCCAGGGAAAUGCUGAAGCAGUACUUCACUGGUGAUGUUCAUCCGAGUGACCUUGAACCUAAAAAUGGUGGUAACAAGGAUCCUUCAAAAAGCAGCACGUGCAAAAGUUUCUGGGCAUAUUGGAGUCUCCCCGUCGUGGGCGCUAUUCUUGUAGGUUUCCUGUAUCGUCACUUCACAGCCGACAACAAAUCCUCCUGAGGAGACGAGACUAUGCUGAA